GAUGAAGAACGUAGCGAAAUGCGAUAAGUAAUGUGAAUUGCAGAAUUCAGUGAACCAUCGAAUCUUUGAACGCACAUUGCGCCCGGCAGUAAUCUGCCGGGCAUGCCUGUCCGAGCGUCAUUUCUACCCGCGAGCGAGUCCAGCAUCUAGGUGCUGGGCCUCGCCCGGCGUUGGAGCACUACGGGAAGCCCUGUGCUGUCCCCCGUAGGCCCCGAAAUGAAGUGGCGGUCCUGCCGCGGCGCCCCCUUCGUAGUAUAACAGCUCGCUUCGGGACCCGGUGGAGGCCUGCCGUCAAACCUAUACUCUCUAAGUUUGACCUCGGAUCAGGUAGGGUUACCCGCUGAACUUAAGCAUAUCAAUAAGCGGAGGA
rnacentral:misc_RNA from 1 species